GAUGAACGCUGGCGGCGUGCCUAAUACAUGCAAGUCGAACGCUGGAACUCUAGCUUGCUAGCUUGAAGGAGUGGCGAACGGGUGAGUAAUACAUAAGCAACCUACCCACGAAGACUGGGAUAAUCUCUGGAAACGGGGACUAAUACCGGAUAGGUAAUCGGAAGGCAUCUUCUGAUUAUUAAAGGUUAAAAACACUGGUGGAUGGGCUUAUGGCGCAUUAGUUAGUUGGUGAGGUAACGGCCCACCAAGACGAUGAUGCGUAGCCGGCCUGAGAGGGUGAACGGCCACAUUGGGACUGAGACACGGCCCAGACUCCUACGGGAGGCAGCAGUAGGGAAUUUGCGGCAAUGGGGGAAACCCUGACCGAGCAACGCCGCGUGAGGGAUGACGGCCUUCGGGUUGUAAAGCUCUGUUGUAAGGGAAGAACGGUAGAUAGAGAAUAUCUAAAUGACGGUACCUUACCAGAAAGCCACGGCUAACUACGUG
rnacentral:rRNA from 1 species